AAGUUUAAGUUAACUAAAACCGAGGACCUUCAAAGCCCUAAAUAGGGGUACCACCCUAACUUCUG
rnacentral:tRNA from 1 species